AGGUUCCGUAAAAUGGCAGCGGGUAGAGUUCUUGUCCUGCACAAAGGAAGGGAUAAUUCCAUCAGUACAUGCUUGAGGAACACUAUGUUUGACCACCAAGAUAGGUAUAUGCCUCGCUAGCACACAAGAACAGUCAGGACCAUGUACGAAUCGGACCAACAGUUGGGGCUAUGUCACACCACCA